rnacentral:rRNA from 1 species
AUUGAACGCUGGCGGCAUGCCUUACACAUGCAAGUCGAACGGCAGCACGGGAGCAAUCCUGGUGGCGAGUGGCGAACGGGUGAGUAAUAUAUCGGAACGUGCCCAGUCGUGGGGGAUAACGCAGCGAAAGCUGUGCUAAUACCGCAUACGAUCUAUGGAUGAACGCGGGGGAUCGCAAGACCUCGAGCGAAUGGAGCGGCCGAUAUCAGAUUAGGUAGUUGGUGGGGUAAAGGCUCACCAAGCCGACGAUCUGUAGCUGGUCUGAGAGGACGACCAGCCACACUGGAACUGAGACACGGUCCAGACUCCUACGGGAGGCAGCAGUGGGGAAUUUUGGACAAUGGGCGCAAGCCUGAUCCAGCAAUGCCGCGUGCAGGAUGAAGGCCUUCGGGUUGUAAACUGCUUUUGUACGGAACGAAAAGGCUCUGGUUAAUACCUGGGGCACAUGACGGUACCGUAAGAAUAAGCACCGGCUAACUACGUGCCAGCCGCCGCAGUAAGAC